GUAUUCUUGGAGCCAGGAAGAUGAGUAACAUGGCCUUGGUCUUUGCUGCCACAGACUCACCUAGAAAUGUCAACUGGUCUUGCAAGCCUAAUGGGAGAGAAGUUGUAACAUCUUAAAGAUGGAUUAAUGUCUGCCUCCCAUGGCAUCCAGCACCCCAAAGUAGUCCUUAACCUGCAUACUCUUCAUGAUCCUGACUCCAUUUCCAUGGUGACCUGGCUUCGUGUGAGGAUAUGAAGAGGUGCGGGUCUCACCGUGCACAGGAGCCUGAGUGUCAUGAAGCAGGUACUGAGGACCUGACUCCCAAUGGGGCCUGACCGCAUGACCACCCUGAAACUGGGCUGCAUUUUACAGAUGGAGACAGAUACGCUGGAUGAGGGGAUGGUAAUGAAAUUUAAAGCCAGGUCCUGCUUUCUAGCCUCCCCACUGACAGCGAAAAUGAACACAGUCUC
rnacentral:lncRNA from 1 species